CUAAAUGGUGUUUAUCUGCAGAAUAGAGGGUCUAACACAGGUUUAAAAAGUCAUUGCUUCACAACUCUCGAAAAUCAUCCUAGGUUCAUGCCAGCAUUUCCAGGCCUAUCGAAGGCCUCUUUUUUAUUUCCCACCCUGCAUUCAGAAUGGGAUUUAAAUGGUUCAGUACAGCAGGAAGAAUUAAGCCACUGGUUAUCAGAUUUUUAAUUUUAUUUUAAUGUAUUGCUCUUUCUGCUUAUUAAUCGGUUGACUCUUAAUGGAAUGGAAUCUGCCAAGGAUGAUGCAGACUGGGUAAGGAGAAUUUCACUGAUUCUGAUUGUCCAGCUCGUUCAAGGACCCCUUGGCUAGGAGUGAUUGACUGUUCGGGGGAGGGUGGCACCCCAGUAACUCUGGCGCGCAGUCAGGGUUGAGAACAACUAGUUUAAGAAGUUAAUGCUACUGACAGCCUAAACCUGGGUUUUGAGUUGGUUGAUAACCCCUGGUGUAAAUACCGAUGUAGCGCGUUUAUUCUCACAUGUUCUUUCACUUUUGUUUGUUCCUGCGGUGGCUCUUUCUGGAGGUGGGGUGUUCUUCUGUGGCUGGGCCCACAAGGUGAGUUUCCGUGCAAAGGAGGCUGUGCAAUACCUGUGUUAAGAGCAACAGAGUGUUCCAGUUUCCAACUUCAAGAAGCACGUGAAAGUGGGAUUCUCAUUCUGGACCGGCAAGACCGGUCUGUCCUGUUAUAUCUUACCUGCAAAUAUGACUUUUCUCCAGGGAAAUUUGGAUGCACACGGGGAGAAAUGCCAUGUGAAGAUGAAGGCAGAGAUCAGGGUGAUGCAG